GUUAGGAAUAUUGGACAAUGGGCGCAAGCCUGAUCCAGCCAUGCCGCGUGAGUGAUGAAGGCCUUCGGGUUGUAAAGCUCUUUAGUCCACGAAUAUAAUGACUGUAGUGGAAGAAUAAGCCCCGGCUAACUUCGUGCCAGCAGCCGCGGUAAUACGAAGGGGGCGAGCGUUAUUCGGAAUCACUGGGCGUAAAGCGUGCGUAGGCUGUUUUGUAAGUCAGAAGUGAAAGCCCAGGGCUUAACCCUGGAAUUGCUUUUGAAACUACAAGACUCGAAUUCGGGAGAGGAUAGCGGAAUUGUCAGUGUAGCAGUGAAAUGCGUAGAUAUUGACAGGAACACCAGUGGCGCAAGCGGCUAUCUGGACCGAUAUUGACGCUGAGGCACGAAAGCGUGGGGAGCAAACAGGAUUAGAUACCCGGUGUAGUCC
rnacentral:rRNA from 1 species